rnacentral:tRNA from 1 species
CUCAGUGGGCGUACACGGAGGCGGACG